GAUGAAGAACGUAGCGAAAUGCGAUAAGUAGUGUGAAUUGCAGAAUUCAGUGAAUCAUCGAAUCUUUGAACGCACAUUGCGCCCCUUGGUAUUCCAUGGGGCAUGCCUGUUCGAGCGUCAUUUGUACCUUCAAGCUCUGCUUGGUGUUGGGGCCUGCUGCACUGGCAGCCCUUAAAAUCAGUGGCGGCGCCAUCUGGCUCUAAGCGUAGUAAUUCUUCUCGCUAUGGAGUCCUGGUGGAUGCUUGCCAUCAACCCCCAAUUUUUCUAUGGUUGACCUCGGAUCAGGUAGGGAUACCCGCUGAACUUAAGCAUAUCAAUAAGCGGAGGA
rnacentral:misc_RNA from 1 species